GAAAUUUUCCUUGGGCUGAUCAGAUAUCUAGCCUAAUAUGCUUUCGAUGUUUCUCUUCUUUUUAGUUCUCGCAGACUUUGUAUCAGAAGCAGUUAUGCCAGAGCUGUUAGAGAGAAUCCUAACUCAGAUGCAAUCGAUGUUGUAGCAGAUGUGAAGACUGAAUGAAUCGUAGUUAUAGGAGGCAGCGGCUUUGUUGGCUCUGCAAUUUGCAAGGCUGCUGUUUCAAGGGGUAUAGAAGUCAGAAGUCUGAGCAGGUCGGGGCGUCCCUCUUACUCAGACUCAUGGGUAGAUCAAGUCACUUGGAUGACAGGCAGGUUCAUUUCUUU